UUAACCCAUAUAAAUAGGUAAUCGGCGUAAAGAGUGUUUAAGAUAUUUAUAUAAUGAAAUUAAAAAAUAAUUUAGAUGUAAAAAGCUUAAAUUAUAUAUUAAAAUCAACUACAAAAGUGUUUUCAUAAAAUCUUAAUACACGUGAGCUAAGACCCAAACUAGGAUUAGAUACCCUACUAUGCUUAGCCCUAAACCUAGAUAGUUACUUAACAAAACUAUACGCCAGAGAACUACGAGCCACAGCUUAAAACUCAAAGGACUUGGCGGUGCUUUAUACCCCCUAGAGGAGCCUGUUCUAUAAUCGAUAAACCCCGCUCAACCUUACCAAUCUUUGCUAAUUCAGCCUUUAUACCGCCAUCUUCAGCAAACCCUAAAAAGGAAAAAAAGUAAGCACAAUAAUCUUCAACAUAAAAAAGUUAGGUCAAGGUGCAGCCUAUAGAUUGGAAUGAAAUGGGCUACAUUCUUUUUUAAAAAGCAUAACGGAAAUUUUCAUGAAACUGAAAAUUGAAGGAGGAUUUAGUAGUAAAUUAAGAGUAGAGUGCUUAAUUGAACUCGGCAAUGAAGCAUGCACACACCGCCCGUCACCCUCUUCAA
rnacentral:rRNA from 1 species